GUAGGAUAUAGCUAGUCGUAGAGCACAUGAUUAGCAUGCAUGAGGUCCUGAGUUCAAUCCCCAGUACCUACA
rnacentral:tRNA from 1 species